AUCCUUGCGAUUGGCACUCAAAAUCCCUAUCUGGCGAAGUGUCGGGGCAACCCGGCUAUGCCGGUAGAGUGUUAGGCGGAAUAAGCAUCUCGGACCCGGGGGGCAGUACCCCGGCGCCUCCACCAUCAGCAGCGACGAAAUUGAGGCGCUGCUGAUGAUGGGGGCGAAACAGGAUCGACGAGUGCAAUAAAGGUCUGGCUGCCGGUCGGUAUGAGACCACCGUGACGGCUCAUAAACACAAGUGCCAACGAUAAUGAGGCGCUCGCUAUUGCUGCGUAACUGACGGCCUAACGGUCAGAAGUUACAAGGUUUAAGCGCGGUCGGACCCCACCGGGCAACAGAAGGGGAUUCCA
rnacentral:tmRNA from 1 species